CACAAUAAAAAUACAAAUACAAAAUAAAUAAAUAAAAAUACACCAACACACACAACCCCUUUUUUAUUAUUAUUUUCUCUUUCUUUUGUUUUCUUUUCCUUUUUGUACAUCCCAUUACAAAAAUAUAAAAACUAAACACUAAACAAAAAAUACAUUACAUAAUUUAAAAAUUACAAAAAAUAGUCCCUAAACUUCAGAAAUUGCAGGGAAGGACUCCUACAACCCGCUGGAACAGUGGCGGCGCGUCGCCCAACGCGCCACCGUCACUGGCGGCGCGUGGGUUCACGCGCCGCCGCGAACAAAGACAGGAAACGGGUAGAUCUGGUUCAGCUUCCUUUCCCUUUUCCCUCUCUACUGGUGGUGACAACCACCGUCACCUGCAAACGAAAAAAAGAACACAAGCAGUCGAUUUUAUAUUUUUGUUUUUGGUUUGUAGAUAUGCUUCUGGGUCUUCUUCAUCGUUCCGGGUCUGAUUCCUUCUCCGCCGAUCUGUUCUGGUCUUUUGCUUGCCCAACCUUCUCUGUUUCAGGCACUCGGCGGUGUGACCGAAGGGCUGCUGGUGGAGGCGAUCUGUUAGCUACGGGCUGGAAAUUUGGGGUUCGGUGGAGGCCGUGGCUGAGGGGGAGGCGGCGGCUCCGAGGGAGAACUGGAGAAGAGAUGGGGGUCAGCUCAUGGUGGCUGAGAAGGAGGUCAGUCCGAGCUGAGUCCUUGAUAGCUGCGGGUCGCUGACGGUGAAGAAGGAGGAACGACCGAGAGGAUGAUGAGGGAGCAGCGGCUUGUGUUGAUGGAGACGAACUGUCGCUGAGAGGGAAGAGCUGGAGAAGGGGCUGUCUUGUGUGGCNNNN
rnacentral:lncRNA from 1 species